rnacentral:rRNA from 1 species
UACGUAGGGUGCGAGCGUUAAUCGGAAUUACUGGGCGUAAAGCGUGCGCAGGCGGUUUUGUAAGCCAGAUGUGAAAUCCCCGGGCUUAACCUGGGAAUGGCAUUUGGGACUGCAAGGCUCGAGUGCGGCAGAGGAGACUGGAAUUCCUGGUGUAGCAGUGAAAUGCGUAGAUAUCAGGAGGAACACCGAUGGCGAAGGCAGGUCUCUGGGCUGACACUGACGCUCAUGCACGAAAGCGUGGGGAUCAA